GGGCCAUUAGCUCAGCUGGUUAGAGCGCAUGCUUGAUAAGCAUGAGGUCCCUGGUUCGAACCCAGGAUGGCCCACCA
rnacentral:tRNA from 2 species